rnacentral:rRNA from 1 species
CCUACGGGUGGCAGCAGUGGGGAAUAUUGGACAAUGGGGGGAACCCUGAUCCAGCCAUGCCGCGUGUGUGAAGAAGGCCCUCGGGUUGUAAAGCACUUUCAGUGAGGAAGAACGCCUGGUGGUUAAUACCCAUCAGGAAAGACAUCACUCACAGAAGAAGCACCGGCUAACUCCGUGCCAGCAGCCGCGGUAAUACGGAGGGUGCGAGCGUUAAUCGGAAUUACUGGGCGUAAAGCGCGCGUAGGUGGCUUGAUAAGCCGGUUGUGAAAGCCCCGGGCUCAACCUGGGAACGGCAUCCGGAACUGUGAAGCUAGAGUGCAGGAGAGGAAGGUAGAAUUCCCGGGGUAGCGAUGAAAUGCGUAGAGAUCGGGAGGAAUACCAGUGGCGAAGGCGGCCUUCUGGACUGACACUGACACUGAGGUGCGAAAGCGUGGGUAGCAAACAGGAUUAGAUACCCUUGUAGUC